GAAAAUAAAACAGAGGUUGUUGGUCCCUUUUUGGAGGACGGGAAUCAUUGGACUUUUUUUCACUGCAGCAUUGUUGACCGUGCAAUUACAUACCUUAAUUCACUUGGGGAAACAGAUGAACAAUAUAACAAAAUAGCAGAAAACUGGAGCACAUUUGCUGCUUCAAAAGGCUACCAGGGGCCAUGGAAAAGAGUACUCAGGAAACAUAGCUUACAGCAUGAUAGCAUUUCAUGUGGUGUUUUC